GAAAUACGUCUCGUGCUACAAUGUCUAGAAGAAUUCUUUGCACCGCUUGAAUGAGGUCAAGUAGCGUCGAUGGGAACUUCUAAACAUAUUCGAGUAUGUCAACGUGCUUAAGGUAUCCACCUUUCGUGAACUGAAUCUCUUGAUUAAGAUCAAGAAUAUCGAAUCUUAUAUUAGAGGGCAUAUUUAUAUCCCAAACAUCAUUGAUCCUUUCAUCAAAGGACAUAUACAAUAAAUAUUUGUGGUCAAGGAAUUCUGGUUGUUCCUUAGGACCAGAACAUAUUAGUUUGAGGUUUUGUUUUGUUUUAUUUUAUUUUAUUUUUGUCAUUGAUUUAUAUGCUAAUGAUUUAAUCUCUAUGUUAAGUGUAUCAUCGCUUCUAGUAAGAACUCAGUAGAAUAGAUGAUAUGAGAUACUACAUGACAUAAAUUUAUGGUUCUUCCUUGGAACCACAGUAAGUAAUUUGUUUGGCAUUUCCUUAUAGUCUAUACAGUUUUCAUGAAAACAAAAGUCUG
rnacentral:lncRNA from 1 species